rnacentral:rRNA from 1 species
UACGUAGGGGGCAAGCGUUGUCCGGAAUCACUGGGCGUAAAGCGCGCGCAGGCGGUCAUCUACGUCUGGGGUGAAAGCCCGGAGCUCAACUCCGGGAUUGCCUUGGAUACGGGAUGACUUGAGGAUCGGAGAGGCAAGGGGAAUUCCACGUGUAGCGGUGAAAUGCGUAGAGAUGUGGAGGGACACCUGUGGCGAAGGCGCCUUGCUGGCCGAUUUCUGACGCUGAGGCGCGAAAGCGUGGGGAGCAAACAGG